rnacentral:rRNA from 1 species
CCUACGGGAGGCUGCAGUGAGGAAUAUUGGUCAAUGGACGAGAGUCUGAACCAGCCAAGUAGCGUGAAGGAUGACUGUCCUAUGGGUUGUAAACUUCUUUUAUAUGGGAAUAAAAUGUUCCACGUGUGGGAUUUUGUAUGUACCAUAUGAAUAAGGAUCGGCUAACUCCGUGCCAGCAGCCGCGGUAAUACGGAGGAUCCGAGCGUUAUCCGGAUUUAUUGGGUUUAAAGGGAGCGUAGGUGGAUUGUUAAGUCAGUUGUGAAAGUUUGCGGCUCAACCGUAAAAUUGCAGUUGAAACUGGCAGUCUUGAGUACAGUAGAGGUGGGCGGAAUUCGUGGUGUAGCGGUGAAAUGCUUAGAUAUCACGAAGAACUCCGAUUGCGAAGGCAGUUCACUGGACUGCAACUGACACUGAGGCUCGAAAGUGUGGGUAUCAAACAGGAUUAGAUACCCUUGUAGUC